UACGUAGGUGGCAAGCGUUGUCCGGAUUUACUGGGCGUAAAGCGCCCGUAGGCGGCCUGACAAGUUGGACGUGAAAGCUCCUGGCUUAACUGGGAGAGGCCGUUCAAAACUGUCAAGCUAGAGUCUGGAAGAGGAGAGCGGAAUUCCCGGUGUAGUGGUGGAAUGCGUAGAGAUCGGGAGGAACACCAGUGGCGAAAGCGGCUCUCUGGUCCAAAACUGACGCUGAGGGGCGAAAGCGUGGGGAGCGAACGGG
rnacentral:rRNA from 1 species